rnacentral:rRNA from 1 species
UACAGGGGGGGCAAGCGUUGUUCGGAAUUACUGGGCGUAAAGGGCUCGUAGGCGGCCAACUAAGUCCGACGUGAAAUCCCCAAGCUUAACUUGGGAACUGCGUCGGAUACUGGAUGGCUUGAGUUCGGGAGAGGGAUGCAGAAUUCCAGGUGUAGCGGUGAAAUGCGUAGAUAUCUGGAGGAAUACCGGUGGCGAAGGCGGCAUCCUGGACCGACAUUGACGCUGAGGAGCGAAAGCUAGGGGAGCAAACGGG